CCUACGGGCGGCUGCAGUGGGGAAUAUUGGACAAUGGGCGAAAGCCUGAUCCAGCAAUGCCGCGUGAGUGAUGAAGGCCUUAGGGUUGUAAAGCUCUUUUACCCGGGAUGAUAAUGACAGUACCGGGAGAAUAAGCUCCGGCUAACUCCGUGCCAGCAGCCGCGGUAAUACGGAGGGAGCUAGCGUUGUUCGGAAUUACUGGGCGUAAAGCGCGCGUAGGCGGUUUUUUAAGUCAGAGGUGAAAGCCCAGUGCUCAACACUGGAACUGCCUUUGAAACUGGAAAACUUGAAUCUUGGAGAGGUCAGUGGAAUUCCGAGUGUAGAGGUGAAAUUCGUAGAUAUUCGGAAGAACACCAGUGGCGAAGGCGACUGACUGGACAAGUAUUGACGCUGAGGUGCGAAAGCGUGGGGAGCAAACAGGAUUAGAUACCCCGGUAGUC
rnacentral:rRNA from 1 species